rnacentral:rRNA from 1 species
CGGUCAACAGAGGGAUGCAAAACCGUGAGGUGGAGCGAACCCCUAAAAGCCGUCCCAGUUCAGAUCGCAGUCUGCAACCCGACUGCGUGAAGUCGGAAUCGCUAGUAAUCGCGGAUCAGCAUGCCGCGGUGAAUACGUUCCCGGGCCUUGUACACACCGCCCGUCACACCAUGAGAGUUGGGAACACCCGAAGUCCGUAGCCUAACCGCAAGGGGGGCGCGGCCGAAGGUGGGUUCAAUAAUUGGGGUGAAGUCGUAACAAGGUAUC